rnacentral:lncRNA from 1 species
GCAGUCACAAUUAAACAUGAGUCAAAUUCCAUAUGGAGUAAGCAAGACAGUGAUGUUGCACAGAUUUAAUUAGCUUGUUUAAUAAUUGCAGCAAAUUUGAACGUUCAAGACCACCUAACCAAAAAGAUUUGGACAAUCUAAGAAAGGAUGGAGCUGGCAAUGGCUCACCAAACUUACUCGAUUAGUUUAAAGAAAUGGUAAAAUUUACAUACCUAAGUUAUAGCAACAUUCCUAAAUUUAGAGCUUGAUUAUACUUUCUAACAUUGCAGUGCGACAAGGAUGCUAGCAUAAAUAAUGAACCGCGCCGUUUAUCACAAGGAUAGUGUCGUACCUUUGGUCUAUCCCAUUCCACUUCUUCUUCACGAAACUACAGGCUUCCUCAAACCAGCUUUUCUUCGGCACCAUGGAUGUUGGAAUCC